GAUGAACGCUGGCGGCGUGCCUAGUACAUGCAAGUCGAGCGAACGGACGAGAAGCUUGCUUCUCUGAUGUUAGCGGCGGACGGGUGAGUAACACGUGGAUAACCUACCUAUAAGACUGGGAUAACUUCGGGAAACCGGAGCUAAUACCGGAUAAUAUUUUGAACCGCAUGGUUCAAAAGUGAAAGACGGUCUUGCUGUCACUUAUAGAUGGAUCCGCGCUGCAUUAGCUAGUUGGUAAGGUAACGGCUUACCAAGGCAACGAUGCAUAGCCGACCUGAGAGGGUGAUCGGCCACACUGGAACUGAGACACGGUCCAGACUCCUACGGGAGGCAGCAGUAGGGAAUCUUCCGCAAUGGGCGAAAGCCUGACGGAGCAACGCCGCGUGAGUGAUGAAGGUCUUCGGAUCGUAAAACCCUGUUAUUAGGGAAGAACAUAUGUGUAAGUAACUGUGCACAUCUUGACGGUACCUAAUCAGAAAGCCACGGCUAACUACGUG
rnacentral:rRNA from 1 species